rnacentral:rRNA from 1 species
UACGGGGGAGCAAGCGUUGUUCGGAUUUACUGGGUGUAAAGGGCGCGUAGGCGGCCACCGCAAGUCGAUUGUGAAAUCUCCGGGCUUAACCCGGAAAGGUCAACCGAUACUGCGGGGCUAGAGUGCAGAAGGGGCAACUGGAAUUCUCGGUGUAGCGGUGAAAUGCGUAGAUAUCGAGAGGAACACCUGCGGCGAAGGCGGGUGCUGGGCUGACACUGACGCUGAAGUGCGAAAGCUAGGGGAGCGAACGGG